UGCCCGAUGGUGUAAUGGCAGCACAAAUGACUCUGGCUCAUUGAAUCGAAGUUCGAAUCUUUGUCGGGCAGCCA
rnacentral:tRNA from 1 species